ACUANGRUCGGCUAACUCCGUGCCAGCAGCCGCGGUAAUACGGAGGAUGCAAGCGUUAUCCGGAAUCAUUGGGUUUAAAGGGUCCGUAGGCGGGACAAUUAAGUCAGAGGUGAAAUCCCACAGCUCAACUGUGGAACUGCCAUUGAUACUGGUUGUCUUGAAUUAUUUUGAAGUGGAUAGAAUGUGUCGUGUAGCGGUGAAAUGCAUAGAUAUUACACAGAAUACCGAUUGCGAAGGCAGCUCACUACGUAUAUAUUGACGCUGAUGGACGAAAGCGUGGGGAGCGAACAGGAUUAGAUACCCUGGUAGUCCACGCCGUAAACGAUGAUAUACUCGNUGUUNGGCUUACUCUCGGCGACUCCAAGACAGUGAU
rnacentral:rRNA from 1 species